AAUAAGAGGAAGAGAGAGCCCCAGGGGAGCACAUCUCGCGAGGCACCUGAGCUCCAGCCAGUACAUACUGUUGCACCAGCUCCACAAGAGCACCAGUCAGCGCGCACUGGCCCCUGCUCAGCCGCCCCGCGAGAUGGUCCCUGUCGUGUUUCCGUCGUUUGUCAUGGAGCCGGGCCAAUGGGAGGUCUUCAAGCAGCACCGCGGUGUGGACGGCAUUCGGGCGACGCUCUGCAGGCGCUCCGCUGCCAAUUACGUCUCUGAGGAAGACCAGCAGAAGUACGCAGUGGAGCUGGUGUCAUUUCUUGCCUAUGAGGGGGCGCUGCCUCAUACACCCACGCCCAGGCAGAGGGAGCGUGAUGCGGCCAGGAAUCUGAAACAGAGAGCAAAUACAUGACUGAGGUGUGUGCCUGGCUAGCUAGCUGCUGUUGUAAGGAGGAGUGCACAUAGAGAAACUCCAAACAUACGUUCAUGCAGCUCUUGUGUCUUCUUGUGAUACUGGUCAGAACCUGGACAGCCCUU
rnacentral:lncRNA from 1 species